GGACGGGUGAGUAACGUGUGGGUAACCUGCCUUUUACUGUGGAAUAAUCGUUGGAAACGACGACUAAUACCGCAUACGAUUUUCUGAAGGCAUCUUCGGAAAAAGAAAGGAAAUAUUCGGUAAAAGAUGGGCCCGCAUCUGAUUAGCUAGUUGGUGAGAUAACAGCCCACCAAGGCAACGAUCAGUAGCCGACCUGAGAGGGUGACCGGCCACAUUGGGACUGAGACACGGCCCAAACUCCUACGGGAGGCAGCAGUGGGGAAUAUUGCACAAUGGGCGAAAGCCUGAUGCAGCAACGCCGCGUGAAGGUAGACGGUUUUCGGAUUGUAAACUUCUAUCAAUAGGGAAGAAAGAAAUGACGGUACCUAAAUAAGAAGCCCCGGCUAACUACGUGCCAGCAGCCGCGGUAAUACGUAGGGGGCAAGCGUUAUCCGGAAUUACUGGGUGUAAAGGGAGAGUAGGCGGCAAGGUAAGCGAUAUGUGAAAGCCUUAAGCUUAACUUAAGGAUUGCAUAACGAACUAUCUAGCUAGAGUACAGGAGAGGAAAGCGGAAUUCCUAGUGUAGCGGUGAAAUGCGUAGAUAUUAAGAAGAACACCAGUGGCGAAGGCGGCUUUCUGGGA
rnacentral:rRNA from 1 species